rnacentral:rRNA from 1 species
ACGGGAGGCAGCAGUGAGGAAUAUUGGUCAAUGGACGCAAGUCUGAACCAGCCAUGCCGCGUGCAGGAAGACGGCUCUAUGAGUUGUAAACUGCUUUUGUACGAGAGUAAACGCUCUUACGUGUAAGAGCCUGAAAGUAUCGUACGAAUAAGGAUCGGCUAACUCCGUGCCAGCAGCCGCGGUAAUACGGAGGAUCCAAGCGUUAUCCGGAUUUAUUGGGUUUAAAGGGUGCGUAGGCGGUUUGAUAAGUUAGAGGUGAAAUACCGGUGCUUAACACCGGAACUGCCUCUAAUACUGUUGAACUAGAGAGUAGUUGCGGUAGGCGGAAUGUAUGGUGUAGCGGUGAAAUGCUUAGAGAUCAUACAGAACACCGAUUGCGAAGGCAGCUUACCAAACUAUAUCUGACGUUGAGGCACGAAAGCGUGGGGAGCAAACAGGAUUAGAUACCCUGGUAGUCCACGCAGUAAACGAUGAUAACUCGCUGUCGGCGAUACACGGUCGGCG